CAAAACUAUGCAGUUUUCCAAAGAAUCCUUUUUCUAAUAUGCAAACUUUUAUUCAUAUUUCAAUACUAGAUUAUAAAUAGAUACAAUUUCUCAGAACAUCUCCAAAGGGGCCAUUUACAAGAUCUCACUCAAAGAGCAAUGUAUUAUUACAAAGAAUUAUGCCAUUUUCAAAGAUGUAUCCAAGAGAUAGGUCUAAUGCAAAGAAACUGAAAAAGAUAAAUAUUAUAAAAGGCUGGGUAAAUAUAUAAAUACUAAUAGAAAGAAAGCAGAUGUUGCAAUUCAUAUAAUAGACUAGGUAGGACUCAGGCCAAUAAGCAUUAAAUUAGAGAAAAAUGAUAUCUUAUAAUGCUAAAGGCCACAAUUCACAAUGAAAAUUUAAAAAUUAUUAGUAUCAAUGCAUCACUACACCUGGCCUCAUCCUCCUAUUUUAUGCAUGAUAACAAAGGUAAGGAACACCAUGAAUUGAGUAUCAAGGUUUUGAAAAGAUAGCCUCUUUCAGUGUGUGUGUUUAGCCUUUUUCAGUGUGUGUGUGUGUGUGUGUGUAGUGCAUGUGUGUGUGUGUGUUUGGAGGCUUUUGAGAUGGAGUUUUUCGUAUAUACUAAAUCACAAAAUUAACAAUAUGAUAGAUUUUUAUUCUUUCUGCAAAGUAAUUCUUCAUUUAUAUGUAAGGUAAAUGAAUUAAUUCUCACAGAAAAGCAAAACAAUUUUGUUUUAUUUCUGUGAACCAAGUUAGCAUGAAAUUCUAGCUCUUUUUGUAAAGAUGGUUUUACCAAACCUCAGCUUAGCAAAAAGUGAAUGGAAGUAUAUCUUUAUCAGGGAAUCUUGGGAAGACACAGUCAUCUCUUAGAUAAUGAUGUCAAAGUAUUGAAAAUGUGUUUAGAUCGAUGCUUCUGUGUCUGGGCUGCUGGAGAAGAUCCCAGAACCCCGUGGAUGAGGGCUAGUAUAAAUUUAUGUCACCUGCCACAGUGGGCCCUCAGAACCACGUGGCGGGCAUAGUGUGUGUUUCUCUUACCAGCUAGCUUCCUGGCUCUCCCAAACCAUGAUUUGAAAUGUUCUCCGCUUGUCUCAAAUUGUCUUUUUCUUAUUGAUGAAUAAAAUCCCCAUGUGUUAAGAAUAUUAACCUUUGAUCAUAUUAUUUGCAAUCUUUCCCAGAUUUAUUUGUCCCUUAAUUCUAGAAAACAUUGAAAACCAUCACAUCAAUCCAUAUUUUCUUUGUGAAUUUUCUAUUAUUUUACCGUUUUUACAUUCAUUCAUUGCACAAAUUCAUUGGGGUAAAAAGACUAUUAUUCUCCUCUUAUGGAAUUUAUAGCCCAAA
rnacentral:lncRNA from 10 species